GGUUGAUCUGCCGGACCUGACUGCUAUCGGAUUGGUACUAAGCCAUGCGAGUCAUUGUACAAUACAAGGCGGACGGCUCAGUAACACGUAGUCAACCUAACUCGUGGACGUGGAUAACCUCGGGAAACUGAGAAUAAACCACGAUAGAUCAUAGUGCCUGGAAUGGCUUAUGGUCCAGACAGUUUACUGCCAUGGGAUGGGACUGCGGCCUAUCAGCUUGUUGGUGAGGUAAUGGCCCACCAAGGCGAUGACAGGUACGGGCUCUGAGAGGAGAAGCCCGGAGAUGGGUACUGAGACACGGAUCCAGGCCCUAUGGGGCGCCGCAGGUGGGUACUGGCUUACGGACCGUGGCUAUGGGGCCUGGGUCGGUAAGCCUUGAUCCCUGCUAAAGCCGACUGGGUCCUUC
rnacentral:rRNA from 1 species